UUACGGCCAUAUCACAUUGAAACACCUGUUCUUGUAUGAUCACCAAAGUUAAACAAUGUUAAGACUGGUCAGUACCUAAAUGGGUGACCACUUGAGAAUACCAAGUGCUGU